UACGGAGGAUGCAAGCGUUAUCCGGAUUGAUUGGGCGUAAAGCGUCUGUAGGUGGUUACGCUAGUCGGCUGUUAAAGAUCAGGGCUGAACCCUGAGCAAGCAGUCGAAACUGCGUGGCUGGAGUACGGUAGGGGCAGAGGGAAUUCCCGGUGUAGCGGUGAAAUGCGUAGAUAUCGGGAAGAACGACCAAAGGCGAAAGCGCUCUGCUGGGCC
rnacentral:rRNA from 1 species